AGACCCGAAACCCGGUGAUCUAGCCAUGGGCAGGUUGAAGGUUGGGUAACACUAACUGGAGGACCGAACCGACUAAUGUUGAAAAAUUAGCGGAUGACCUGUGGCUGGGGGUGAAAGGCCAAUCAAACCGGGAGAUAGCUGGUUCUCCCCGAAAGCUAUUUAGGUAGCGCCUCGUGAAUUCAUCUCCGGGGGUAGAGCACUGUUUCGGCUAGGGGGCCAUCCCGGCUUACCAACCCGAUGCAAACUGCGAAUACCGGAGAAUGUUAUCACGGGAGACACACGGCGGGUGCUAACGUCCGUCGUGAAGAGGGAAACAACCCAGACCGCCAGCUAAGGUCCCAAAGUCAUGGUUAAGUGGGAAACGAUGUGGGAAGGCCCAGACAGCCAGGAUGUUGGCUUAGAAGCAGCCAUCAUUUAAAGAAAGCGUAAUAGCUCACUGGUCGAGUCGGCCUGCGCGGAAGAUGUAACGGGGCUAAACCAUGCACCGAAGCUGCGGCAGCGAACGUAUCACUUAAAGCGAUUCAGCGGGUUACGAUUGACGGAGCGAAGCGACGUCAAAGCGUAUACAAAGUCGAGUCGGUUUAAGGAUACGUUCGUUGGGUAGGGGAGCGUUCUGUAAGCCUGUGAAGGUGUGUCGUGAGGCAUGCUGGAGGUAUCAGAAGUGCGAAUGCUGACAUAAGUAACGAUAAAGCGGGUGA
rnacentral:rRNA from 1 species